UUACAAACAGAAAAUGCUAUGGUUGGGUAAGAUCAGUUUAAGUCCCACAGCUCAAUCAUAUAGUCCUUCCUGUUCCCAAACAUCAACAAGAAAGUCUACCAUUUCCGAUAGAGGGAUUGACUGAGGAAAAGGCUUGUUGGUCCCCAGCAAAGUUUCGUAACUCGCAUCAAAGCUUAGUUUAGAUUCCUGAGCUGCAGUCUGCUUCUGAGGUGUUCUAUUUCCAAUCCAUUCUUGCCUAGUUUUACUCCAAAGAAUUAAACCAUGAUUUACAAAUUCAGUGUUGUUGUUUGUGGUGCUAGAACUACUGUGAGCAUCAAGGCCCUGAUUUGAAGUACUAAUUGAUGAGACACUUCGUUGUGAAGGAAAUGCACUAUUCUCCAUCUCACAAGCACUACUGCUCCAAAAGUCGUCCCUUGAACCGCGUUUCCUCAAGCGUUGACCCUGAACUUUCUGACCUUUGGAUGGCCUAUCCACUAAAAUAACAUGUGGUGGCUUUACACAGCACCCAAGACAACUUCCCAUGCAAGCGAAGAUACGUGAAAUCGACGAGGUUACUGAUCUACAAAGUAGCAUUUAACAAGUAUUACACUGUAAAAAGCAAAUGGGUAUUCGUCAAAGCAUCGAUUUGAACCUCUGGACCUCCAAUACUGAAAGGAAAUUCAUCUCUUACACUUCUCUUUCACCUUUCUCUGCAAUUCUUUGCGCUUAAGCAGUAAACAAGAACGAAAAAAAAAUCGAAAUUUUUCUCUUGGUGUUAUUAAAAAGUUUAGUAG
rnacentral:misc_RNA from 1 species